UCUGCUGAUGCCUUGGUCCUGGACUUUCCAUUCUCCAGACCUGUAAGAAAAGCAUAUCUGUCCAGUGUCCUUCCACUAGAGGCUAAAAUAAACCAAUGAGCCUGCGGGUAAGGGAAGAAUGUUUCUUGGGGCAGAAGACUCCCUUCAGGGAGAGGCCCCGAUGGCAGUGGACUUGUCCCUCAGCCCCUUCACAGCCUGGCCCCAGGCAGAACAGGUUGGCUGGAGAGAAGAGCCCACCUCUCGGUUUUAUGAACAGGCAGAGGAAGGGAUCCUUGAUGGAGGUUCACACCAUCUCUGACCACAAGCCCAGUGGCCUUUCUGCUUGAAGUCCAGGGUCUUGACCAUGGGGUCAGGGCUCACGUGCUCUGCAGCUGGAUCUGGUCUAAGGCCCCUGUCCCUGGACCUGUCAUGCCCUCAACCCCUGCCACCCGGCUCUUUCUGGGGCUGCACUGAGAAUCCAGCCUCUCCCAGACCAAGCGGCCCAUGGCAUCAACUCAAUGGCAGCCUCUCCCAAAAUCCAAUUUCAUUACACCUGGCUUUACUGCCGUUGUGACUGACAAGUGGUCCCCUUAAAAAGGGAAAAAGAAGGUUAAUGCUCGCAAUUCAUCCUUUUAUCCCAACAGCUCUCCUUUAUGGAACGCCACAUAAUUAACCAGUGACGUACAAAUCAGAUGCAUCCCAACUCUCUGCUGUGUCACUUGCUUCAGAAAUGUGAAGCUAUGAAACCUAAACAGGUUUUCAAUUUCUCCUAAUGUAAAAAAAAAAAAAAACAGCAAUAAAAUCAAAAAGUGAGAGAAAAAGGGAGAAAAAGUUAGACUCUGGAAAUAGCAUCCUUCAUGAAACUACAUUAGAUGUGAAUUAUUCCCACAAUGAUUUCUCUG
rnacentral:lncRNA from 10 species